rnacentral:rRNA from 1 species
GGGCGUAACUUCUUCUUUGCGUAAAGGCGCACCCGGAGAGCACAGUGAGAUACCCGAAAGAUGGUGAACUAUGCCUGGCCAGGACGAAGCCAGGGGAAACCCUGGUGGAGGUCCGCAGCGAUUCUGACGUGCAAAUCGAUCGUCGGAGCUGGGUAUAGGGGCGAAAGACCAAUCGAACCAUCUAGUAGCUGGUUCCCUCCGAAGUUUCCCUCAGGAUAGCUUGCGCUCACGUGAACGAGUCUCAUCCGGUAGAGCGAAUGAUUAGAGGCCUUGGGGUCGAAACGACCUCAACCUAUUCUCAAACUCCAAAUAGAUGAGAACUCCGGCUUUCUUGAACUUUGUUUUUGAAGCCGGGGGCUUGGAUCAGAGUGCCAAGUGGGCCAAUUUU